rnacentral:lncRNA from 1 species
CUCAGCAAGGCCUGUCUGUUCAGAUUCUUUUUGGCCUCUCUGUGUGGCAAUCCUUCCUCCCAGCUAUAGAGCAGAGACCUUCUGGAAUGAAGAUCUUAUGAUCUACUUUCAGACAUGGCAGCUCAGAGAAUUUCUUUACAGCCAGCUCUUGCCCAGAAAGAUGCUGUUGUUAGAGACCAAAUACACCACCCCUAAAUAUGCUGGAAAAGUUACCCUUUCAAAGAGGAUUUACAUCUGUAAAGGAAAUCUCCAUUCCUGCACCAGGAAGAGAAGGAUGACUAAAUCCUUCGAGAUGUAUCUAUGGAGAAGAAAAUGAUAUUUCAGCCCAAAGUUUCAACUCCCUCUUGGAUCUACCCUAGAGAUUUGCUCAGCUCACUGUGUAACUCCCAUGGAUAUACAAGGUAUCCACGCUAUUUAAUAUUCAACUUGUUUGUUUUUCUCCUGUUGAUCUGUCUUGUGUUCCAGGGCAUCCCAGCUAAGAACUCAUGAAGGGUAGAGAGAAAACUGUUUUUCCUCUCUUUCAUUUUGGGGGGCUGUUCCCAGAGAUCAAAGAUGAGCCCUGCAAACUGUCUACCCUACUCCAGAGGCUGACCUAAGACUGGAAGCCCCCCUCUUCCCUGGACACCUGUAGGAUGCAUUCCAUGGUUCAGCUGGCUAGUCUCUGAGGGACACUUAGAGGAUUUGACAGGUCCAGCUACAUCAGAUCAUUGGAAUUGGCAUGAAAAAGAGCUUCUGGGCCUUACAUAGGUUUUUCCAAAGAGUGGGGAAACCCCAAGGAAUUCUGUAACCUUAAAAUAAACUGAGAUUCAUUAGUGCAGAAACACAGAAAGCUGUCUUCUGAGUCUCGGAAACUAAGAUUUUAGAUGAAGUUAAUUUUCUUAUAAAAGAAUACAAUAUUAUUGUAAAUAAUUUAGAGAUUGCAUAUAAGACAAAGAAGAAAAUAAAAUGAGCUAUAUCCGUUCCUCCAGCCAUCAACACCUUCCACAUUUGUGGCACAUCCUUUCAGGAUGUAUGUGUGUGUGUGGGAGGGGGGUGCUUACCUGUGUGUAGUAACUUCAUGUUAUACAUAUGCCUUUUUCCCUCAAGGGUGACCACUGUUGUUGCCCAGGCUGGAGUGCAAUGGCGCGAUCUUGGCUCACCACAACCUCUGCCUCCUGGAUUCAAGCGAUUCUGCUGCCUCAGCCUCCCAAGUAGCUGGGAUUACAGGUGCCCACUACCACACCUGGCUAAUUUUUUUGUAUUUUUAAUAGAAACAGGGUUUCACCAUGUUGGUCAGGCUGGUCUCGAACUCCUGAACUCAUGUGAUCUGCCCCCCCCUCACCCGCCCCUUGGCCUCCCAAAGUGCUAGGAUUACAGGCGUGGGCCAUGACCUGCUUUUUAUUAUCAAUCUAUAAUUAUAUGUAUUGUUCCUAUAUCAUUAAAUAUUCUCCUUUGAC